rnacentral:lncRNA from 1 species
GGGGGGGGGGGGGGGGGGGGGGGGGGGGGGGGGGGGGGGGGGGGGGGGGGGGGGGGGGGGGGGGGGGGGGGGGGGUCGGCAGCCGGGGGCGGCGGCGCGGCGGGCGAGCAAUGCCCCUCGCUCCUCUGCUUACGCUGCCCUUCCUCCUUCUCCUCACGCUCCCGGCUCUGAAGCUUUUGUUUACCCCGGCCACUGUGAUGGCAGGAAACUUCCCGGAGGGAUGGGCUCAGGCCGGGCUUGUGCUGCGCCGGGCUCCGCAGGGCUCCGGUCGCAUCGUGAGUCCCUGCAGAAUGCUGCAGCUUCCUUUCCUUCAUAGUGUUCUCAGCUUGUGGAAUCAUAAACCUCAGUGGAACUUUGGGUGGAAAUACUGACAUGAACUUAAGAACUUUGAUGCUUUCAAACGCUGAAUUUUGAUUGUUAAGUGACCAGUUCAAAAUACUGCCUGAACAAGAUGAAAUGCCUUGAAGACCUUUGGUUCUG